GCUCCUAUAGCUCAGUUGGUAGAGCGCGACACUAGUAUAUAUCAAACAACAGUGGAUUCUAACUUACUUAGUUAGUCUCUAAUGAAACAAAGAAUAUGCAAUGUCGAGGUCUACGGUUCAAAUCCGUAUGGGAGCA